rnacentral:tRNA from 1 species
GGAAGCGUGCCCGAGCAUUUAAGGUCUACUUUGAUAGAGUAUAAAACAGAGGUUAAAAUCCUCUCACUUCCU